UGGAGUGGCUGGAAGACGCUUCUGCGGGCGGCCUGGAGACCUGACUCCAUUUCCGGGGUGUGGCCCCGUUCGGGGUGCUCAGAAGUCAGAGUAUCGUUGGGAGCCAGCUACCUUGCAUGAGGAUACUCAAGCAUUCCUAUGGAGAGACCCACAUGGUGAGAAGAAACAUUAGAAGCACCUGAAGGACCAGGAAGUGAGUGC